rnacentral:rRNA from 1 species
ACUGCCUGCCCAGUGACAUCUGUUCAACGGCCGCGGUAUUAUGACCGUGCAAAGGUAGCGUAAUCACUUGUCUUUUAAAUAAAGACCGGUAUGAAUGGCAAAACGAAAACUCAACUGUCUCCUCAGACAAAUCAGUGAAAUUGAUUUCCCCGUGAAGAAGCAGGGAUAAUAAUAUAAGACGAGAAGACCCUAUGGAGCUUUAAACCAAAACUACCCACACUCUUAAGACUUUAAAAAGUGGAAUUAGCUAUAGGUUUUGGGUUGGGGCGACCGCGGAGUAAAAAUCAACCUCCGAGAAAUAAUCAAGAAGAACACUUCAAAAAAUAACAAUAUUAACAUAUUUGACCCAACAAUUGAUCAACGAACCAAGUUACCCUAGGGAUAACAGCGCAAUCCUCUCAAAGAGUCCCUAUCGACGAAAGGGUUUACGACCUCGAUGUUGGAUCAGGACCCCCAAAUGGUGCAAAAGCUAUUAAAGG